GUCUCUCUCUCUCUCCCUGAAUACAAGUCAACUAACCGAUGUGUUAUUUGCAUGGUCCUAAAUUAGGAGGAAUUUAAAGAAUAUGCAGAGAAGGCCAAGUCUCUGCCCUCGACAACAAAGGAUGCAGAUAAACUAGUACUCUACGGCCUAUACAAGCAAGCAACCAUCGGCUCCGUUAAUACUAAUCGACCUGGGUUCUUUAGCACAACUGAGAGGGCCAAAUGGGAUGCUUGGAAAGCAGUUGAAGGAAAGAUCCAAGAAGAAGCAAUUGCUGAAUACAUUGAAAAGGUGA
rnacentral:lncRNA from 1 species